UACGAAGGGGGCUAGCGUUGUUCGGAAUCACUGGGCGUAAAGCGCACGUAGGCGGAUUUGUCAGUCAGGGGUGAAAUCCCGGGGCUCAACCUCGGAACUGCCUUUGAUACAGCAAGUCUUGAGUUCGAGAGAGGUGGGUGGAAUUCCUAGUGUAGAGGUGAAAUUCGUAGAUAUUAGGAAGAACACCGGUGGCGAAGGCGGCCCACUGGCUCGAUACUGACGCUGAGGUGCGAAAGCGUGGGGAGCAAACAGG
rnacentral:rRNA from 1 species